AGAGUUUGAUCCUGGCUCAGAUUGAACGCUGGCGGCAUGCCUUACACAUGCAAGUCGAACGGCAGCACGGAGCUUGCUCUGGUGGCGAGUGGCGAACGGGUGAGUAAUAUAUCGGAACGUACCCUAGAGUGGGGGAUAACGUAGCGAAAGUUACGCUAAUACCGCAUACGAUCUAAGGAUGAAAGUGGGGGAUCGCAAGACCUCAUGCUCGUGGAGCGGCCGAUAUCUGAUUAGCUAGUUGGUAGGGUAAAAGCCUACCAAGGCAUCGAUCAGUAGCUGGUCUGAGAGGACGACCAGCCACACUGGAACUGAGACACGGUCCAGACUCCUACGGGAGGCAGCAGUGGGGAAUUUUGGACAAUGGGCGAAAGCCUGAUCCAGCAAUGCCGCGUGAGUGAAGAAGGCCUUCGGGUUGUAAAGCUCUUUUGUCAGGGAAGAAACGGUGAGAGCUAAUAUCUCUUGCUAAUGACGGUACCUGAAGAAUAAGCACCGGCUAACUACGUGCCAGCAGCCGCGGUAAUACGUAGGGUGCAAGCGUUAAUCGGAAUUACUGGGCGUAAAGCGUGCGCAGGCGGUUUUGUAAGUCUGAUGUGAAAUCCCCGGGCUCAACCUGGGAAUUGCAUUGGAGACUGCAAGGCUAGAAUCUGGCAGAGGGGGGUAGAAUUCCACGUGUAGCAGUGAAAUGCGUAGAUAUGUGGAGGAACACCGAUGGCGAAGGCAGCCCCCUGGGUCAAGAUUGACGCUCAUGCACGAAAGCGUGGGGAGCAAACAGGAUUAGAUACCCUGGUAGUCCACGCCCUAAACGAUGUCUACUAGUUGUCGGGUC
rnacentral:rRNA from 1 species